ensembl:snoRNA SNORD14 Small nucleolar RNA SNORD14
CUGCUGUGAUGAUGGAUUCCAAAACCAUUCGUAGUUUCCACCAGAAAUCCUGUGUUGGCCAACUCCUUCCUUGGAUGUCUGAGCGA